rnacentral:rRNA from 1 species
UACGUAGGGGGCAAGCGUUGUCCGGAUUUAUUGGGCGUAAAGAGCGUGUAGGCGGCUAGGUAGGUCCGUUGUGAAAACUCGAGGCUCAACCUCGAGACGCCGAUGGAAACCAUCUAGCUAGAGUCCGGAAGAGGAGAGUGGAAUUCCUGGUGUAGCGGUGAAAUGCGUAGAUAUCGUAAGGAAGACCAGUGGCGAAGGCGGGUCUCUGGACAGUUCCUGACGCUGAGGCACGAAGGUCAGGGGAGCAAACGGG